GCGCAUCUCAUACAAUCCUUGCUUUCUUACAAUCCCCAAAUCUCAUUUCAAAAUUCAAAUCCACAGCUCCCUUCCCUUUUCAUUCUCUCUCCGAUUUUGGAUCUGGAUCUGCUUUUUCUUUGCCUUGCGUUCACCAUAAGCCACUACUCCAUGGCUGUUCGAGACACCUUCUCUCAGAUGGUUAACAUGGUGGGGGAUGGGGAUGACUAUUUCAGACACCUUCCUCCUGAUGUAACAUGUUAGAGACACCUUAGUUGCCGCAUUUUCGCUUCAAUUCAGGUUUGUUCUUUCAAUUUCGUUAUUUUAUCGGAUUGCGUAUUCAAUCAAAAAAGGUUAUUAGCGUUCGUGAUCAUUUGUUUUCUGUACAUUAUUUCAGCAUUUGAAUAACUAACCUCUUACCUUAAAUUUGCUUGGAAUGAUUCGUUCUAUUGAUUAAUUAUUUCUAUUAAGUGAUUCUGUGUUUAUCUUUUAAUUUGGUUUUGCUCUAAGAAUUCACUUUAGAAACGAGAAAAGUUCAAUCUGAUCGUGUCAUGUUUGGUAACUCAUUAAUGUUUACUCUAUGCGUAAUGUUUCAAAACUGAACGGCCAGCGGUUCAAGCAAUGCAAUGCUUACCUUUUAGGGUGAGUUGUAUCACUUAACUCAAACCUUUGUAAUUUCCUUAGGGUGUGAGAUAAAGAUUGAUAAUUAAACUAUUUAGUAUUAGAUUGUGGAGAAUUAAAGGAUGCGUAACUCAUGGACCGUGGGGUGGUUCACAGGGGAAAAGAUGGGUUUAUAUGCCUCAAGGCUCUUUUGAAAAGAUAAUCAUUCAACAUGGAACUGUUGUUGACUCCAUUAAAUUCCAAACCAAGUGCAGCAAAGGUGAACCUCAAAGCUUUUUCUUUGGUGGUAAGGUUUAUUGGACUGGCAGCGAAGUAGACACGGUAAUUUUUGCAGUUUACCAGUGUUUUAGGAAUCAUUGAGGGCAUUACGGAAGGCUGCAUUUAUAGUAAUCUGAAGCUCCUUUCUCUAUUUUCCACUAAUUUAUUGCCUUCAUUGAUAGUUUUCAAUUAAACCGUGAAACUUGAAAUGAUCUUUCUUUAUUAUGACAAUCCAAACCAUGAAUUUUUUAAUCAUUAAUAGUAAUACGAAUCUGAAUCUCCUUUCUUUAUUAUGACACAGAGGGGUUCGAAAGUAUAGGGAAAUCAAACGUCUAUGAUGAUAGGCGUUACACAAAUAUAUUCUUUAUCUUUUUACUCAAACAAAUGUGUUAGGUGAAAAAAACAAACAAACAAAACAUUUUUUCUUACAUACAAUGACAAAAAGGUGAAAGUAAGUUACAUAUUGGUUAAUAGAUUUCCGUUAUACUUAUUUUAUUUGCUUUAUUUUGUUUCAUUGGUGUUUUACUCUUUAUAGGCCAAACGGGCCUAUUCAAGCAUUCCCACAUGCCAGAUGGAUCUCCUGAUGUGUAUGUUCACCCUAUGAUGCGUUCUUCACAUUUAAUGCCCAAUUCUCUCAAUUUGCACCCAACCAGUUGGGUCAACAGCAGCGAUUCAGUCACGGACGGUCAAUGGGUGCUCGUGGUGGCGAAUGGAAUCAUGUCAAGGUCCAGCCCCCACUUUCCAAUUACAGCUCAGCGGGUCAACGUUCCCACGGAAGCAACAACAAUGCGCCAUGGGGGCGUAGGGGCAACCAUCCGAUAGCGACCAAUAUUAUACCAUCUUCACAUGGUGGAAACGAAUAUGGAAGGAUUGCAUGAUGGUUACAGUUUGAAAUUUUAUAUAGAAAAUAUGGACUCUAAGGAAGGAAUGUUGUGAUGAUAACUGGUAGUUGAAGUAUGACUUAUGGAUGUGCAUUCAUAGUGAAUUUUUUUUUACUUAAGACUUAUGAAACUGGCUUCCUUCUAUUUCUUCAUUUGUUGCUAUUUUUAUUUCUUCUUUUCUGGGAUGUCGAAAACAAGUAGGCGUAAAAGGGUUUGUUCAUUUUUGUUUUAAUUUAAUUGUUUUAUUUGUGAAAAAUGCUCGAUGAUCACUUUGCUUGUAAUAGCAACUUAUGUCAAUGUUGGACUAAA